ACAGCAGUCGCCGCGGGAAUACGUAGGUGGCAAGCGUUGUCCGGAAUUAUUGGGCGUAAAGGGCUCGCAGGCGGUUUCUUAAGUCUGAUGUGAAAGCCCCCGGCUCAACCGGGGAGGGUCAUUGGAAACUGGGAAACUUGAGUGCAGAAGAGGAGAGUGGAAUUCCACGUGUAGCGGUGAAAUGCGUAGAGAUGUGGAGGAACACCAGUGGCGAAGGCGACUUUCUGGUCUGUAACUGACGCUGAGGAGCGAAAGCGUGGGGAGCAAACAGGAUUAGAGACCCGUGUAGUCCCUGUCUCUUAUAC
rnacentral:rRNA from 1 species